rnacentral:rRNA from 1 species
CAGCAGCCGCGGUAAUACGUAGGGGGCCAGCGUUGUUCGGAAUUACUGGGUGUAAAGGGUUCGUAGGCGGUGUGGCAAGUUGGGAGUGAAAUCUCUGGGCUCAACCCAGAGACGGCUUCCAAAACUGCCGUGCUUGAGUGUGAGAGAGGCUCGUGGAAUUGCAGGUGUAGCGGUGAAAUGCGUAGAUAUCUGCAGGAACACCCGUGGCGAAAGCGGCGAGCUGGACCACUACUGACGCUGAAGAACGAAAGCUAGGGGAGCAAACAGGAUUAGAUACCCUGGUAGUCCUAGCCCUAAACGAUCAGGACUUGGGGUGCCACCCGUUCGGGUGGCGUCCCGGAGCUAACGCGUUAAGUCCUGCACCUGGGGAGUACGGUCGCAAGACUGAAACUCAAAUGAAUUGACGG